UUUUUUUUUUUUUUUAUGGCCAUAUCCAAGGUGUGUGGAAGUUUCUCAGCCGGGGACGGAACCCAAGCCACAGGUGCAACCUACACCACAGCUGUGGCAACGGCAUAUCCUUUAACCCACUGCCUCAGGCUGGGGAUGAAACCUGUGCCUCCACAACAACCCAAGCCAAUGCCUUUGGAUUCUUAAGCCACUGCAAUGCAGCAGGAACUCCUAAAAAUGAAUUCUUUAAAAAAAAAAAAGUGAGAAAACAAAUACUUCCAAAUGAGAAGCAUGGAGAAACAGGUAAACAGCUCAUCUAUUUUUAAAAUGAGGAGGCAUAGCAGCUGCCCUAUGAAAGCAGGCUUGUCAAUUAUUUAAUGUCUCAUUGAGCCAUAGACUCUCAGAGUGCAGAGCCCAGGAGAACCACCCAGGCCUGGCCUUUUCCCUUUAGCCAGUGUACCAGGGCUAAGUGGCACAGAGCACGCUAAACAGGAGUAUGGGCACAGCCCUUGCUUUUGAGAAAGACAUCCAUGUUCGACAGGCUGUUUGAUCUCUCUCACUUCCUUUCACCUUUUCUAAAUAUCCUCCCUGAAAGGUGGAGUUCAGGAAAACUGUGAACAAGGCGACUGCAGACCAUUCUUGCAGCCUGUGUUUCCACUACACCCAGAGUGACAUGUGGCAUAUACCUGCUAUGUAAUAGGUGACAAGUGAGACCUCUGGGGCUCCACACUGUCACCCCAAUGGCUGAGAAUGCUGGGGGCUCCUGCUGUCUACAUCCCACGGAAGCAAGCAUCACCUCGCUCUUCUUAGUGCCCUUCACACUGGGGUAAGACAGACAACUUACAGAAACAGGCUGCGCCUGAAUAUUGUGCCUCUGUUUAGAGCCUCGGAUCAUACUUUCUCUCUCUCUCUCUCUCUCUCUCUCUCUCNNNNNNNNNNNNNNNNNNNNNNNNNNNNNNNACACACACACACACACACACACACACACACACAGGCUGAUAGAAGCCAAUGCCUGGAGUGUUGAACCCACACUCUUCUGAGGGACGGCUAGUUUUGCAAGGGCUUCGGGUGAAGAGAAGGUGGAAAGUGGGCUGGACUGAAGGGGGUCCCUGUUCUGAAGCCAGACACUUGUUGAAGCCGUCAGAUGGAGACUUGAAAGAACUCAAGAAAGGGCAGGCCUAGACAGGACAGACCGGAGGACCCAGCUAAACGGGAAGUCCCUGGGGACAUCACAGAUGACAAAGGGCCAAGUUCCAGAAGGCCAACUAGGACCGGGAAGGGGCAGACAGAGAUGCUGUCAACACUUGGGAAAGAGGCGGUGGCAAGUGAAAAAAGAGAAGAUGGCAGACCCCUUGGGUGGGGCCAGCCCUGAGCUUCCGGUGAGACUCAGGGUGCUCUGCUGUCCUGCGGCAUCAUGGGAGCACUGGCCAACCCCACCCUGGUGAAGGGUGGGGCCCUGAAGGCCAAGAGGAGGGGCCUCUGUCACAUCUGAGCCUCCCUGGCAAGUCAGUGAGUCACUCUGAACCUCCGUUUUCUCAGCUCAAAGUCAGGGCAUCGAUUAUAAGAAUAGCUGCUGUAAGGGAUCAAGGACUCAGCAGGUGCAGGAAUGGUUUACCAUGUCUGUCGACAGAGAAGGCACUGAGCAAAGGCUUCCUCUGUCAGCUGUCAAGAGAACAGGUGCCCCGUUCAUCUUUGUGAUGCUGUGUGUCUUCCCAGCUAGAGCUCUGUUUGCAGAAUCCCCGGCCAUGACCCUCAGCUUGACCCUCAUUCCCGACAUCCUGUAAAAAGCACUGAGCAUAUUUGUCCAGGGAAUGAAUCAGUAGGAGCGUCAACAGCUGGCAUGAGCUUUCGGAUGCUGCAUGCUGAUCCCGGAGAGGAUGCUCAUGGAGGAACUUGGCAAAGUCACUCCAUUUUCCUGAGCCUUGGUUUUCUCGUCUAGAAAAGGAGGCUGCUUUUUUAUUUUAUUUUAUUUUAUUUUUUUGUCUUUUCUAGGGCUGCAUCCUCGGCAGAUGGAGGGUCCCAGGCUAGGGGGUCUAAUCAGAGCUCCUGGGAACCUCCAUAUGCCACGGGUGUGGCCCUAGAAAAGGCAAAAAGACAUUAAAAAAAAAAAAAAAAAAAAGAGUGCCAGGGAAGAUUACAAGGAGAGAAAAGGGCAAGAACUGAAACACAGUCUUGUAAAGAGUACCCCAAAAGUCUCUGGGUGAGCCCACAGAUCAUUAUAAAAUGCCAGUAUAGUAUGUGCCAAAAUUCACCACCCUAAAAUUGACUAUUAUCAGAAGCACCCACGUGGAGUUCCCAUUGUGCCUCAGCAGUAAUGGACCCAACUAGCAUCUAUGAGGAUGUGGGUCUGACCUCUACCCUCACCCAAUGGGUGAAGGAUUUGGCAUUGCUGUGAGCUGUGGUGUAGGUCGAAGACGCAGCUCAUAUGUGGUGUUGCCGUGACUAUGGUGUAGGCUGGAAGCUGUAGCUCCAAUUCCACCCCUCGCCUGGAAAUUUCCAUAUGCCACAGGUACAGCCCUAAAAAGACAAAAUAAUAAUAAUAAUAAUAAACUGGAGGACAGGUUGGAAGGCAGCCUGAUCGGAUCAGUGAGACCAGUUAGGAACCUGCUCUCUGAGGUCACCUGAACCAAGAUGGCAGCCUGGACUGAGGCUACAGUGAUGGACAUGGAAAGAAGAGGCCAAACCCACAGGAAUCAGCACCCAUCAGGCAUGGCAGGGCCAAAGCCAGGCCGAGGAAAGUCACAUAACUGAAUGGGCAGAUGGACAGUGACAACACUUUCUGCGACCAGAAACUCUGGGGGGAAGGCCAGGCGUGGUUUUAGCCGCGUGCCUUUAGCUGUGCACACGCGGGGUGGCCAGCGGGCAGGUGCCGCUCGGGCAGCGGACUUGAGAUGUGGAAACUCAAGCACAGGAGGCCUGCAGGUUUUGUUGGCUUGGGUUUCUUCCUCUCUCCCUUUCCACGGAGUGCUGUGUGGCUACAAGAGUGUGUUUUAAGACAAAUGGGGAUUAAGUAUAUUUAGUUUAAAAACAAAGAAGGUGGCUGUACAGCACCAUGGGAGUAGCAUCAGGCUGAGGGUCAGAGGCCCUUCUGAGCCCAGAGCUGAUGCUCAAACUCUGCAACUCUUGGUUUCACAUAUAAACUAAAGAGAUGGGACCAGAGCUCUAAGGCCUCUGUACGCACGGAAGCACAGCAAGCCUACCCUCAUCCAAAACUGUCUUUUCACCUUUCAUUCCAGUUUCAUCAUCUUUAUUAUUAUUAUUUUUUUCUUUUUUGGUCACCCCACAGCAUAUGGAGUUUCAGGGCCAGGGAUCCAAUCCUGAGCCGCAGCUGCGGCAACAUGGGAUCCUUAACCCACUGUGCUGGGCCGGGGAUCAAACCUGCAUGCCAUUGCUCCCAAGACACCGCUGAUCCUGUGGGAUCAGUUCCCACAGUGGGAACUCCGGUGUCAUCCUCUUUAGAAAUGAGGACUGUGGCCCGGGGCCUGACCCACCUUGACAGGAGGAAAAAUGGAGCCAGAGGAUCCUGAGGCUUUCGGGGCAGUUUCCAGGGUGAGGACCCUGUGUGCCUGGGGUCAGGGGGAUCCC
rnacentral:lncRNA from 1 species